CCUACGGGUGGCAGCAGUGGGGAAUAUUGGGCAAUGGGCGCAAGCCUGACCCAGCAACGCCGCGUGAAGGAAGAAGGCUUUCGGGUUGUAAACUUCUUUUCUCAGGGACGAAGCAAGUGACGGUACCUGAGGAAUAAGCCACGGCCAACUACGUGCCAGCAGCCGCGGUAAUACGUAGGUGGCAAGCGUUAUCCGGAUUUACUGGGUUUAAAGGGUGCGCAGGCGGGCCUUUAAGCCGGCGGUGAAAUCGCGGGGCUCAACCCCGCCGUGCCGUCGGAACUGGGGGCCUUGAGUGCGGCGGAGGCAUGCGGAAUGCGCGGUGUAGCGGUGAAAUGCAUAGAUAUCGCGCAGAACCCCGAUUGCGAAGGCAGCGUGCCGUGCCGCAACUGACGCUGAGGCACGAAAGCGCGGGGAUCGAACAGGAUUAGAUACCCGUGUAGUC
rnacentral:rRNA from 1 species